AUCGUUUAGUUCUAAUUUAAUAAUGUGGUUCGGGUCGUCCACAUAUUUACGUAACAUCGAUACGAAAAAAAACGUUCUGAACACGCAACAUAAUUAGCGGUAAAACGAGUCUAUAGGCCACAGUUCCUACUUCAUCGAGGAUUUCAAAUGGGCCAAUUAAAUCGAGGGUUGAGAUUCCUCUCUUCGUCAAUUCUUGCUUCUAGAAUAACGCCCUCUUGAACCUUCUUCUUC
rnacentral:lncRNA from 1 species